UUUAAGAAAUUAGCGGCGGACGGGUGAGUAACACGUGGGUAACCUGCCUAUAAGACUGGGAUAACUCCGGGAAACCGGGGCUAAUACCGGAUAACAUUUUGCACCGCAUGGUGCGAAAUUGAAAGGCGGCUUCGGCUGUCACUUAUAGAUGGACCUGCGUCGCAUUAGCUAGUUGGUGAGGUAACGGCUCACCAAGGCGACGAUGCGUAGCCGACCUGAGAGGGUGAUCGGCCACACUGGGACUGAGACACGGCCCAGACUCCUACGGGAGGCAGCAGUAGGGAAUCUUCCGCAAUGGACGAAAGUCUGACGGAGCAACGCCGCGUGAGUGAUGAAGGCUUUCGGGUCGUAAAACUCUGUUGUUAGGGAAGAACAAGUAUGAGAGUAACUGCUCGUACCUUGACGGUACCUAACCAGAAAGCCACGGCUAACUACGUGCCAGCAGCCGCGGUAAUACGUAGGUGGCAAGCGUUAUCCGGAAUUAUUGGGCGUAAAGCGCGCGCAGGUGGUUUCUUAAGUCUGAUGUGAAAGCCCACGGCUCAACCGUGGAGGGUCAUUGGAAACUGGGAGACUUGAGUGCAGAAGAGGAAAGUGGAAUUCCAUGUGUAGCGGUGAAAUGCGU
rnacentral:rRNA from 1 species